ensembl:lncRNA
GGACUCCUGGGCUAACUCUGGAACAAUUUGGGAUUUACUAAGUGAAUAAGAAGGGGGCUUUAUGCACACAUGGAUAAUAUAGCAUUAUCACAUGUGAUGGAGUUGAGUGAGAGUUGCUGCUUUUCAUCCCUAGGAUAUCCCUGAUAAAGGAUGGGACUCAGGAGUAAGCACAAAAGGUCAAGUUUCAGGCAGUACUCUUAGCACUGAAUGCCCUAGACAACAAUAGGCUGCAUAUACACAUUUUUACCUGUGGGGCAUUACAAAUAGUCUGGCUGUUGGGUCCAGCCAAAUAUGGUAAAACAAAUCCUUAUCUUAAGUUUCUCCUUUGGGAUAAAGACUCUAGUAAUCUCUAGCCUCACAGAUACUGCAAAUAUAAAUCAAGGUCACACAAGCCUCUGCAUAUCCUAAACCCAUAACACAAAACCUCAAUAAGACUCUCCUUUUCCUGUUUAGAGUUUCAGACAUUAUUGACCAUGACCAAAUCACUCAUUUCACGUCUCAGAAUACAUAAUGCAGGGCUCUUAAACAAAGCCUUCAAUAGAACUUUUGCCUGUUAUACAGGCUUCAGUCUAUAGGCCUCAUAGAGCAUCAGAAUGGCUUAAGCAAGUUCAAAUUUAGUUAAAAAAACAUGGCAUAUCUAGACAUCAGUUAACACGGGGAGUAAAUUGUAAUAUAGAAUCUGACUCCAUAACUUAAUAUUUGACUGCUGAUAUCUUUACUCUUUUCUCUUCCAUUUUGCUCCACAUCUGGGCAAAAUGAUAAGAAAGGCUAGUGUGCUAACUCUUUUGGCAUCAGGAGGAGAUUCAAGCCAUCAAGCCUCUGCCCAUAUGUGGAAAACACGCACCCUGGCUUUACCCUUUACCUCACUAAAAAUCCCAAGCAAGUCUUAUUUCCUCACUCUCUGAAGGCCUAUGGAGCUUGGGAAGUCUGCUCCAAUCUUCUCAGAAAGCAUCAUUAUGACUUCCAGUACUGUGUUAAAUAAAAGUGGCAAGAGGAGGCGUCCUUGUCUUGUUCCUGAUCUUAAAGGGAAAACUUACAUCUUUUCACUGCUUUUUCCUAUUCUACAGCUAAGAGGAAGAGAUACUGUUUUCAUAGUAACAACAAAAAAAAA